AGAGUUUGAUCCUGGCUCAGAUUGAACGCUGGCGGCAUGCCUUACACAUGCAAGUCGAACGGUAACAGCACUUCGGUGGCUGACGAGUGGCGAACGGGUGAGUAAUACAUCGGAACGUGCCCGAGAGUGGGGGAUAACGCAGCGAAAGCUGUGCUAAUACCGCAUACGAUCUACGGAUGAAAGCAGGGGACCGCAAGGCCUUGCGCUCACGGAGCGGCCGAUGGCAGAUUAGGUAGUUGGUGGGAUAAAAGCUUACCAAGCCGACGAUCUGUAGCUGGUCUGAGAGGACGACCAGCCACACUGGGACUGAGACACGGCCCAGACUCCUACGGGAGGCAGCAGUGGGGAAUUUUGGACAAUGGGCGAAAGCCUGAUCCAGCCAUGCCGCGUGCAGGAUGAAGGCCUUC
rnacentral:rRNA from 1 species